rnacentral:rRNA from 1 species
ACCGAGCGGAUGAGUUGCGAACGGGUGAGUAACGCGUAGGUAACCUGCCUGGUAGCGGGGGAUAACUAUUGGAAACGAUAGCUAAUACCGCAUAAAAUUGAUUAUCGCAUGACAAUCAAUUGAAAGGUGCAAAUGCAUCACUACCAGAUGGACCUGCGUUGUAUUAGCUAGUUGGUGGGGUAACGGCUCACCAAGGCGACGAUACAUAGCCGACCU